GACGAACGCUGGCGGCGUGCCUAAUACAUGCAAGUCGAACGCUUCUUUCCUCCCGAGUGCUUGCACUCAAUUGGAAAGAGGAGUGGCGGACGGGUGAGUAACACGUGGGUAACCUACCCAUCAGAGGGGGAUAACACUUGGAAACAGGUGCUAAUACCGCAUAACAGUUUAUGCCGCAUGGCAUAAGAGUGAAAGGCGCUUUCGGGUGUCGCUGAUGGAUGGACCCGCGGUGCAUUAGCUAGUUGGUGAGGUAACGGCUCACCAAGGCCACGAUGCAUAGCCGACCUGAGAGGGUGAUCGGCCACACUGGGACUGAGACACGGCCCAGACUCCUACGGGAGGCAGCAGUAGGGAAUCUUCGGCAAAGGACGAAAGUCUGACCGAGCAACGCCGCGUGAGUGAAGAAGGUUUUCGGAUCGCAAAACUCUGUUGUUAGAGAAGAACAAGGACGUUAGUAACUGAACGUCCCCUGACGGUAUCUAACCAGAAAGCCACGGCUAACUACGUG
rnacentral:rRNA from 1 species